AUUGAACGCUGGCGGCAGGCUUAACACAUGCCAGUCGAGCGAGCGGCGGACGGGUGAGUAAUGUCUGGAAAACUGCCUGAUGGAGGGGGAUCACUACUGGAAACGAUAUCUAAUACCGCAUACCAUCAGAUGUGCCCAGAUGGGAUUAGCGAGUAGGUGGGGUAAUGGCUCACCAAGGCGACGAUCCCUAGCUGGUCUGAGAGGAUGACCAGCCACACUGGGACUGAGACACGGUCCAGACUCCUACGGGAGGCAGCAGUGGGGAAUAUUGCACAAUGGGCGAAAGCCUGAUGCAGCCAUGCCGCGUGUGUGAAGAAGGCCCUAGGGUUGUAAAGCACUUUCAGUGAGGAGGCGUUACUCGCAGAAGAAGCACCGGCUAACUCCGUGCCAGCAGCCGCGGUAAUAC
rnacentral:rRNA from 1 species